GGAAGUAAAAUCGUAACAAGGUUUCCGUUGGUGAACCAGCGGAGGGAUCAUUACAGAGUUGCAAAACUCCCAAACCAUUGUGAACGUUACCUAUCCCGUUGCUUCGGCGGGCGGCCCGGGCCCCGCGCCCGGCGCCCCCCGGCCCCCCGUGGGCGCCCGCCGGAGGUAAACCAAACCCUUGAAUUGCAUGGCCUCUCUGAGUCUUCUGUACUGAAUAAGUCAAAACUUUCAACAACGGAUCUCUUGGUUCUG
rnacentral:misc_RNA from 1 species